UAUAUGUGUGUGUGUGUGUGUGCGCGCGCGCGCGCGUGCGCACGUGCACACAUACACACCCACACCCAUGUA